AACCUGCCUGGUAGCGGGGGAUAACUAUUGGAAACGAUAGCUAAUACCGCAUAAGAGUAGAUGUUGCAUGACAUUUGCUUAAAAGGUGCAAUUGCAUCACUACCAGAUGGACCUGCGUUGUAUUAGCUAGUUGGUGAGGUAACGGCUCACCAAGGCGACGAUACAUAGCCGACCUGAGAGGGUGAUCGGCCACACUGGGACUGAGACACGGCCCAG
rnacentral:rRNA from 1 species